GUGAGGAAUAUUGCGCAAUGGAGGCAACUCUGACGCAGCCAUGCCGCGUGCAGGAAGAAGGCGCUACGCGUUGUAAACUGCUUUUAACCGGGAAGAAACCCCAGGACGUGUCCUGGGUUGACGGUACCGGAGGAAUAAGCACCGGCUAACUUUGUGCCAGCAGCCGCGGUAAUACGAAGGGUGCAAGCGUUAUCCGGAUUCAUUGGGUCUAAAGGGUGCGUAGGCGGAGCGUUAAGUCAGUGGUGAAAUCCUGCAGCUUAACUGUAGACUUGCCAUUGAUACUGGCGCUCUUGAGUGCGCUUGAAGUGGGCGGAAUGUGCCGUGUAGCGGUGAAAUGCUUAGAUAUGGCACAGAACACCAAUUGCGAAGGCAGCUCACUAAGGCGAUACUGACGCUGAGGCACGAAAGCGUGGGGAUCGAACAGGAUUAGAUACCCGAGUAGUCC
rnacentral:rRNA from 1 species